rnacentral:rRNA from 1 species
AUUGAACGCUAGCGGGAUGCUUUACACAUGCAAGUCGAACGAGUGGCGGACGGGUGAGUAAUUUCUGGGGCUCUGCCCGAUGGAGGGGGAUAACUACUGGAAACGGUAGCUAAUACCGCAUACUAUCAGAUGAACCCAUAUGGGAUUAGCUAUGCGGUGAGGUAAUGGCUCACCAAGGCGACGAUCCCUAGCUGGUCUGGGAGGAUGACCAGCCACACUGGAACUGGGACACGGUACCAACUCCUACGUGAGGCAGCAGUGGGGAAUAUUGCACAAUGGGGGCAAGCCUGAUGCAGCCAUGCCGCGUGUGUGAAGAAGGCCUUCGGGUUGUAAAGUACUUUCAGCGAGGAGGCGUUACCCGCAGAAGAAGCACCGGCUAACUCCGUGCCAGCAGCCGCGGUAAUAC